GGGAGUGAAAUAGAACCUGAAACCCUGCACUUACAAGCUGUGGAAGCACAUUUCUUGUGCGACCGCGUACUAUGUGUAGAACGGGCCAACGAGUUACGAUAAGUUGCAAGGCUAAGCACCUAAGGCGUGGUGCCGUUGCGAACGCGAGUGUUAACUGAGCGAUCAGUCACUUGACGUAGCCUAGAAACCGGGAGACCUACC
rnacentral:rRNA from 1 species